GCUUUGAGCGCAUCAGGGUGGGCAUAAAUGACCGAAAAACCAGAAGGAACCGAUCCGGACCGGCCGGUUCGGGUCGAAUUUUAGAUUGAAAAUAAGUGAUUUCGGGCCGGUUCGGUCCUUGUACUCAAUUUGCCGGUCCGGUCCCGAUUCUUAACUUGUGGUGACUACGUGGACCAAAAAAACCGAGCUUGUAUAGGUGUCUUCCAAUUAUUGGUUAAUUUCGAAGUCUAUUGUGUUAGUAUGGACAUGACCACAUGUGAUUAGUAAGUAAACCUAAACUCUAAAACUAAAAUCCCAAAACCUAAAUUGGUCUUAUUCUCAGCUCUCUGCGACUCCGCCUCUUUAGCUCUCUCCCUCACAAUCGGUCUUCCUCACCAGUCUCACUUCCUCAGCUCUCUGCUACUCCGCAUCUCUGGCUCUCUCCCUCACAACGUCUACAGCAAGGUCAUCAAGGCCCAGAUUUGGGACAUUGAUGGCCAAGAAAGGCUCAGAUCUGAGAUCUCCCUUUCUCCCUCUUCUCUGUUCUUCAUUUUCCCCCAUAGUCCACAGGGCUUGCUUGAGAGCUGGGGGAUUUUCUUCUUGCAAUAUGUGCUGCUGUGUUGGUGAACUUGUUGUGUAACUGUGUUGAUUGUUAUUUGCAAGAUGGUUUUAUUUGCAGCCUUGCUGCUAGUGCAGAUUGCAGAAUGGUUUAUUGGUUUUAUUUAUAGCAUUGAUUGUUAUUUGCAAGAUGGUUUUAUUUGCAGCCUUGCUGCUAGUGCAGAUUGUAGAAUGGUUUAUUGGUUUUAUUUUCAGCAUUGUAGCCUUGCUGCUAGUUCAGAUUGCAUUACUCUUUAUACAAUUCCAUUCUCUAAAGUCUAAACAGAAGCAGGUCAAGCAGCAAAAUGCAGCAGUGCUGCAAAUAUUGAUUGGAACAAGAAACCGGAAAAACAGGCAUGUUUUGUCCCGGUCCCUGUUAUUUGCAACAACGGUCCCGACCCGAAGUAAGACUGCCGGUCCCGGUUUCUAUAAAACCAUUGACGGUCCGGGUUUAGCCCGGUCCUUGUUUUGUGAAACUGCAAGACCGGCCCGAAGUAAGAUUGCUUGUCCCGGUCCCUGUAAAUGCAGUGCCGGUUUGGGACUGUGCCCAGCCCUAGGUUGAAGACAUGGUGGAACUUAACUCUCCUACCACUUCUGAAAAAAGUCGGACACUACAUAUUGAAUCGAGCUAUUUGUUUCAAUAGUAAAUGAUGCAUUCUAGAAUCAAGUUUAUGAUUGACCUA